UACGUAGGGCGCGAGCGUUUGUCCGGAAUUAUUGGGCGUAAAGAGCUCGUAGGCGGCUUGUUGCGUCUGCUGUGAAAUCCCGGGGCUUAACCCCGGGCGUGCAGUGGAUACGGGCAGGCUGGAGGCAGGCAGGGGAGAAUGGAAUUCCCGGUGUAGCGGUGAAAUGCGCAGAUAUCGGGAGGAACACCGGUGGCGAAGGCGGUUCUCUGGGCAACAACUGACGCUGAGGAGCGAAAGCGUGGGGAGCGAACAGG
rnacentral:rRNA from 1 species